UCAUCAGAAUGGUAAUGGGGUACGUGAGUAAUUAAAUAUUUUAAUUACUAUUUACAACAAAUUACUGUGGUAAUUAAUUAAAAUUUACUGUUGUUGUUGUUGUUGUUAUUGUUCAGCGUCUUAAUACAGAUUCUAUGUAGUUACGUCACUCUCCCUCUGUACGCACUUGUCACCCAGGUAAAUAAUCAAACUGUGAUUUAAAUUUAAUCACUUAAUUACUGAUGGGAUUUACUGUGGUAAAUCGGGAUCGAUGUUCUUCAGAUGGGAUCCAACAUGAAGCCAGUGAUCUUCAAUGAGAGAGUGGCGGCCGGUUUGAAGUACUGGCACAGCACGGCAAGGAAACAUAUAAAAGAGAAUCGAAAGUCGGGUUCGGUCACACCUCUAUCAAGCACACCGGCCACACCCGUAAGCGGUUACUCGCCGGUUCAUCUGUUAAAACACACCCGGAAUGGAUCCGACGGUUAUCUCGACAGCAUCAACACAUCACAGAGAGUUUACAGCAUAGGAGAGGGGGCGGCUCAUGGAGGC
rnacentral:lncRNA from 1 species